UACGUAGGGGGCAAGCGUUGUCCGGAUUUAUUGGGCGUAAAGAGCGUGUAGGCGGCCAGGUAGGUCCGCUGUGAAAACUCGAGGCUCAACCUCGAGAUGUCGGCGGAAACCAUCUGGCUAGAGUCCGGAAGAGGAGAGUGGAAUUCCUGGUGUAGCGGUGAAAUGCGCAGAUAUCAGGAAGAAUACCCGUGGCGAAGGCGGCUCUCUGGGACGGUACUGACGCUGAGACGCGAAAGCGUGGGGAGCGAACAGG
rnacentral:rRNA from 1 species